UAUUGUUAGCCGAACGCUCUGGAAAGUGCGGCCAUAGCAGGUGAUAGCCCUGUAGGCGAAAACAGUAUGAAAGAACUAGGUGUGCGACAAGUAGGGCGGGACACGUGAAAUCCUGUCUGAAGAUGGGGGGACCAUCCUCCAAGGCUAAAUACUCGUGAUCGACCGAUAGUGAACCAGUACCGUGAGGGAAAGGCGAAAAGAACCCCGGGAGGGGAGUGAAAUAGAUCCUGAAACCGCAUGCAUACAAACAGUCGGAGCCUCGCAAGGGGUGACGGCGUACCUUUUGUAUAAUGGGUCAGCGACUUACGUUCAGUAGCAAGCUUAACCGUAUAGGGCAGGCGUAGCGAAAGCGAGUCCGAAUAGGGCGUUCAGUUGCUGGGCGUAGACCCGAAACCAGGUGAUCUAUCCAUGGCCAGGAUGAAGGUGCGGUAACACGUACUGGAGGUCCGAACCCACUAACGUUGAAAAGUUAGGGGAUGAGCUGUGGAUAGGGGUGAAAGGCUAAACAAACCUGGAAAUAGCUGGUUCUCUCCGAAAACUAUUUAGGUAGUGCCUCGUGUCUCACCUUCGGGGGUAGAGCACUGUCAUGGUUGGGGGGUCUAUUGCAGAUUACCCCGCCAUAGCAAACUCCGAAUACCGAAGAGUGCAAUCACGGGAGACAGACAUCGGGUGCUAACGUCCGGUGUCAAGAGGGAAACAACCCAGACCGCCAGCUAAGGUCCCCAAAUAUAGCUAAGUGGGAAACGAAGUGGGAAGGCUAAAACAGUCAGGAGGUUGGCUUAGAAGCAGCCACCCUUUAAAGAAAGCGUAAUAGCUCACUGAUCGAGUCGUCCUGCGCGGAAGAUGUAACGGGGCUAAGCUAUAUACCGAAGCUGCGGAUGCGUGCUUGCACGCAUGGUAGGAGAGCGUUCCGUAAGCCUGCGAAGGUGCGUUGAAAAGCGUGCUGGAGGUAUCGGAAGUGCGAAUGCUGACAUGAGUAGCGAUAAAGGGGGUGAAAGGCCCCCUCGCCGUAAGCCCAAGGUUUCCUACGCAACGUUCAUCGGCGUAGGGUGAGUCGGCCCCUAAGGCGAGGCAGAAAUGCGUAGCUGAUGGGAAGCAGGUCAAUAUUCCUGCACCGUCGUUAGAUGCGAUGGGGGGACGGAUCGCGGAAGGUUGUCCGGGUGUUGGAAGUCCCGGUCGCUGCAUUGGAGAAGGCGCUUAGGCAAAUCCGGGCGCGUAAUUCAAGGGUGUGGCGCGAGCUCC
rnacentral:rRNA from 1 species